rnacentral:lncRNA from 1 species
GCUAAAAACGCACAGGUUGUUGCAAGUUGAUAUCGACAGGCGUGAACAAUGUUGUGCGGCCAACUAUGAACAAGUUGUCAACCAUGUUGUUCCAAGUUGUUACAGUUGAACAAUGUUGUAACAACAUGUUGACAAUACUGUUCAUAGUGGGCCGCACAACCUUGUUCACGCCUGUCGAUAUCAACUUGCAACAAGUUGUUGAUUUUCUCAAUUUUUACGCGUGUAUAUAAUAUUUUUUCUCAGCGGUUUUCUAUAACUGAGUACUUCAUGUAAAAAGAAUAUAGGGGAUCUUGAGAACUAUAGCUAUUUGUUGUUUGGAAAGG